rnacentral:rRNA from 1 species
GGGACACGUGAAACCCUGUGGGAAGCAGGAGGGACCACCCUCCAAGGCUAAAUACUACCUAGUGACCGAUAGCGUAUAGUACCGUGAGGGAAAGGUGAAAAGAACCCCGGGAGGGGAGUGAAAUAGAACCUGAAACCCUGCACUUACAAGCUGUGGAAGCACAUUUCUUGUGUGACCGCGUACUUUUUGUAGAACGGGCCAACGAGUUACGUUAAGUAGCAAGGUUAAGCACUUAAGGUGCGGAGCCGUAGCGAAAGCGAGUUUUAACUGAGCGUUCAGUUACUUGACGUAGACCCGAAACCGGGCGACCUACCCAUGAGCAGGAUGAAGCGAAAGUAAAAUUUCGUGGAGGUCCGAACCCACGAGCGUUGAAAAGCUCGGGGAUGACUUGUGGGUAGCGGUGAAAUUCCAAUCGAGCCCGGAGAUAGCUGGUUCUCCCCGAAAUAGCUUUAGGGCUAGCCUCAAGGUGAGAGAUACGGAGGUAGAGCACUGAAUGUCCUAGGGGGUAUUGCACCUACCGAAGACUAUCAAACUCCGAAUGCCGUCAUCUUAUACUUGGGAGUCAGACUGUGGGUGAUAAGAUUCAUAGUCGAAAGGGCAACAGCCCAGAUCGUCAGCUAAGGUCCCUAAAUGUAAGUUAAGUGGUAAAGGAUGUGGGAUUGCACAGACAACCAGGAUGUUGGCUUAGAAGCAGCCACUCAUUCAAAGAGUGCGUAAUAGCUCACUGGUCGAGUGAUCCUGCGCCGAAGAUUUCCGGGGCUAAAACUUACUACCGAAGCUACGGCAUCAUUAUGAUGG